AGACUUCUAGGGUUUCAAUGAGUCUUGUUCUUUGUUCGUCCUCUUUCUGAAAACUCUUGGUUUUCAUCUGUAAUCCUUUAGUUCUAGGUGUUCUUAGUGAGAUCUAAUAUAGAUUACAGUGUUCUUGUGAUGAUUCUACUCACUGAUUGAGUAUUUGGUAUAGGUUACUUUGGUGUAAUCUAUGUGAGAAAGAAUUCGUGUGUUUUCCAAGUCUGAGGAUUAGAUCUUUUGGAUCUCUUGUGCUAUAAUUCUUAAACACUUAAUAUUUUUCUUGGUUCUAGUGGAUUGGAGCCAUAACCAUUUAAGGUGAAUGCUCAACGUGGUGAUUAACCCUUUGUGGGUGAACAUCCAGAUCUAAGGGCGAAAAAUCGUGGUGUUCUAUUAUUUUCUGUUGUUGUUUUGAUUACUUUUGGGAUUGAAAAUACCUACACUUGUGUAUGUUUAUGCAUGUACAUAGAUUCAUUUUAAAUGUAGAAUAAAGAUCGUAGUUAAGUGCAUAGCUAUCAAUAUAUGUAUAUGUGGAUUUUAUAUAACUUGUCUUUUAUAUGUUUUAGUAUAUGUACGUCCAGUGUAGAUGUAUCUAUGCAUGUAUUUGCACACACACGGUUACAAUUUUGGUUCUCAGUGUGACUUCCUAGUAGUAUGACCGUAGGAGUUUUUAAUUCUAUAGAUUCAUAAAAAAUUUGAGGUUAUGGCUUAUGGCAGAGAAAAAUUUUGUCAACCUAGACUAAAACAUAUAGAUAACUGAAAGUUUAGAGAAGCAAUUGCAGUCCUUGGACCUUAUCUGAAACGUAUUUGUUGUUUUUAUGGUUUCUGACAUGUUAAGACUCUUUGGGGUCUGCUCAGACUACAUUUAGGAACAAAAUGCAUUUAAUGCAAAAAAAAAAAAAUGUUGUUGAUUUAAAACUUUAAGUUUGCAAAAAAAAUAAAAUAAUAAAUGAGUGAGUGGUUUGCCUAAUUUCGACGGCAUCUCUGGAGAUGUCCACUCGUGUUGUGCUCCAAUGAUAUGCUCUACUGAGCUACAUACUGUGGUUGAUUUAGCGGAUCUGAGAAACUUCAACAGCUAAUAACAACAUUCUGCAGAGAAAACAACUUCCUCUUAGUAGAAUGUGAACUUUUGUAUAAGAUCUAAGUUGAUAAGUGUUCAUGAGGACUGUUAAGCAAUGUAACAUGUAUAUUGCUUUUUAUAUUUGUAGAAAUAUGGACGUGAAGUUAAGAAAAUACUGAAAUUGGGUGUUCCAUAAUCUUAAACUCUCUUAAAACUUGAGAAAUAUGUAGUGGUGAUUUGUGGAUGAUUUCUUUAUAGUUGAAUCCAUAACAUACGUUAGUGAUUCUUUUUUGUUACCAUUUGUGCUCUUGUGUGGAUGCCUAAUCUUAUAGAAUAUAGGCAUUUUUUGGACUGAUUUGCACUGUUGGGACUGUUUCUGCCAGUAUCAAUGGUUUAUGAGUUGGUUAAACAUUUGCUUAUCCCAUUCUAGAAAUAAGCUUAAUGACAUAAUCACAUUUUAUGAAGUUGUUUUACAGCUGGCUUGGAUUAAGUAACCAUAGAAAAUAGAGUUAAUGAAACUUUUGGUUCAUAUCUGAGAUUGUUCCACAUAUGCUCAAAGUUUAUAUUUAUUUAAAGUGGAUAAUUAACAUCGUGAUAUUUCUUUUGUAGAUAUCCUGGAUUUUAGAUGUUUGUCAAUAUCACCAGGUAUUGUUUUAAAAAUCGCAUGCUGACUUUUAGGAUUCUAUCAGAAAUGCAAUUAUUG
rnacentral:lncRNA from 1 species